UACAGAGGGUGCAAGCGUUAAUCGGAAUUACUGGGCGUAAAGCGUGCGUAGUCGGUUAUCUAAGUCGGACGUGAAAUCCCCAGGCUCAACCUGGGAACUGCGUCCGAUACUGGAUGGCUUGAAUCCGGGAGAGGGAUGCAGAAUUCCAGGUGUAGCGGUGAAAUGCGUAGAUAUCUGGAGGAAUACCGGUGGCGAAGGCGGCAUCCUGGACCGGCAUUGACGCUGAGGAGCGGAAAGCCAGGGGAGCAAACGGG
rnacentral:rRNA from 1 species